rnacentral:rRNA from 1 species
AAGUCGUAACAAGGUCUCCGUAGGUGAACCUGCGGAGGGAUCAUUACCGAGAGAGGGCGCCUCGCGCGCCCGCCUCCCAACCCUUUGCGAACCGUACCGCGUUGCCUCGGGUGGCCCUAGCCGGGCGCCCCGAGGACGUCUCACCAAACCCUGCGUCCCUGCGUCGGAGUAUGAUAUUGAAUCAAUCAAAACUUUCAACAACGGAUCUCUUGGUUCUGGCAUCGAUGAAGAACGCAGCGAAAUGCGAUAAGUAAUGUGAAUUGCAGAAUUCAGUGAAUCAUCGAAUCUUUGAACGCACAUUGCGCCCCCUGGCAUUCCGGGGGCAUGCCCGUUCGAGCGUCAUUACACCACUCAAGCCUGGCUUGGUAUUGGGCGUCGGGAUGCACCCGCGCCUCUAUGUUUGUUCGGCUGGACGGUUGGAAUCUCAGCGUUGUGCAAUCAAUCCGCUGUGGGACCCGACUGGACGCGCCGUGAAAAUCUCAUCACAGGUUGACCUCGGAUCGGGUAGGGAUACCCGCUGAACUUAA